rnacentral:rRNA from 2 species
AGAUUAAGUUAUUAAGGGCGCACGGUGGAUGCCUUGGCACUAGAAGCCGAUGAAGGACGUUACUAACGACGAUAUGCUUUGGGGAGCUGUAAGUAAGCUUUGAUCCAGAGAUUUCCGAAUGGGGAAACCCAGCAUGAGUUAUGUCAUGUUAUCGAUAUGUGAAUACAUAGCAUAUCAGAAGGCACACCCGGAGAACUGAAACAUCUUAGUACCCGGAGGAAGAAAAAGAAAAUUCGAUUCCCUUAGUAGCGGCGAGCGAAACGGGAAGAGCCCAAACCAACAAGCUUGCUUGUUGGGGUUGUAGGACACUCUAUACGGAGUUACAAAGGACGACAUUAGACGAAUCAUCUGGAAAGAUGAAUCAAAGAAGGUAAUAAUCCUGUAGUCGAAAAUGUUGUCUCUCUUGAGUGGAUCCUGAGUACGACGGAACACGUGAAAUUCCGUCGGAAUCUGGGAGGACCAUCUCCUAAGGCUAAAUACUCUCUAGUGACCGAUAGUGAACCAGUACCGUGAGGGAAAGGUGAAAAG